rnacentral:tRNA from 1 species
GUCUCUGUGGCGCAAUCGGUUAGCGUGUCCAGCUGUUAACUGAAAGGUUGGUGCUUCGAGCCCACCCAGGGACU